rnacentral:rRNA from 1 species
GACGAACGCUGGCGGCGUGCCUAAUACAUGCAAGUUGAGCGCUCAGGGGUGGUACUUGUACCAAUUGGAUUAGCAGCGGACGGGUGAGUAACGCGUGGGGAAUCUGCCUUUGAGCGUGGGACAACAUUUGGAAACGAAUGCUAAUACCGCAUAAAAACUUUAAACACAAGGUUCAAUUUUGAAAGAUGCAAUUGCAGCAAUCAAAGAUGAUCCCGCGGUGGAUUAGCUAAUUUGGGAGGGAAAGGCUCAACAAAGGGAUGAUACAUAGCCGACCUGAGAGGGUGAUCGGCCACAUUGGGAAUGAGACAAGGCCCAAGCUCCUACGGGAGGCAGCAGUAGGGAAUCUUCGGCAAUGGAGGAAAGUCUGACCGAGCAAAGCCGCGUGAGGGAAGAAGGUUUUCCGAUCGUAAAACUCUGUUGGUAGAGAAGAACGUUGGUGAGAGUGGAAAGCUCAUGAAGUGACGGUACCUAACCAGAAAGGGACGGCUAACUACGUG